GGCGCCACAAACACUAGAGCAUAUACUAUAACGAUAUGGUAUCAUAUCGUUAUAGUAUAUGCUCUAGUGUUUGUGGCGCC